GAAAUUCCCCCGCAUCACAUGCGCCAGAGCGAUCUCCAUGCGCGAAAUGCGUCCCAAGAGCAUUUUCGCUGACCGUGAUAGUUUGGAAGUUUGCGGAAUUACCCGGAGGAAAGUGGCAAAUCGUAACGAAACGGUCGUUCGGUGCCUGCGCCUGCGACGGCGAAACUGUCCCAAGAGCCACGGCGCACACCAUAAUCGC
rnacentral:misc_RNA from 1 species